UACAGAGGGGGCAAGCGUUGUUCGGAAUUACUGGGCGUAAAGGGCGCGUAGGUGGCCUUCUAAGUUGAACGUGAAAUCCCUGGGCUCAACCCAGGAACUGCGUCCAAGACUGGGAGGCUUGAAUCCGGGAGAGGGAUGUGGAAUUCCAGGUGUAGCGGUGAAAUGCGUAGAUAUCGGGAGGAACACCAGUGGCGAAGGCGGCUCUCUGGGCCCUACCUGACGCUGAGACGCGAAAGCGUGGGAGCGA
rnacentral:rRNA from 1 species